rnacentral:tRNA from 1 species
GGCUUCGUAGCUCAGCUGGUAGGUCGCUUGCCGCGUAGAGGCAUGGUGUUUCUGCCGCUGGUUCGAAUCCAGCCGAAGCCC